rnacentral:lncRNA from 1 species
GCUGCGGGCAUUGGGGCCCCUUAAGGAAACCCAGGCCUCCAGGGACUCCGCCGCUCCAGGACUCGGCGCGGAGGGAAUGACUGAGCGACGACCGAGGCAGGGGGGGAUGGGGGUCCUCAUUUAGUGAGGCAGUUUGUAACAGGGUCAGGGAAGAACUGAGCUCGGCUGCGUGCGUUUAUCGGCUGUAUGACCCAGAGCGAGUGGCUCUAGUUUUUGGACCUCAGUAAUGCCAUCUCUAAAAUGCAGGCUUUGACAGAUGGACCUCUGAACAAAAAGAUUAUCUUCCGCUUGGUCCCUCCUUCUAUUUUGUGAAAGGGUAGCAAGAAACAUUUUAUCUGGAAGCCACCAAAAGAAAAGGAAAUAAUCUUUGGCUAUAAAUCGAGGGUAUCUUUGAUUCACAGUGAAGGC